AACGAACGCUGGCGGCAGGCUUAACACAUGCAAGUCGAACGCCCCGCAAGGUGAGUGGCAGACGGCUGAGUAACGCGUGGGAAUCUACCCAAUUCUUCGGAACAACACAUGGAAACGUGUGCUAAUACCGGAUGAGCCCUUCGGGGGAAAGAUUUAUCGGAAUUGGAUGAGCCCGCGUUGGAUUAGCUAGUUGGUGGGGUAAAGGCCUACCAAGGCGACGAUCCAUAGCUGGUCUGAGAGGAUGAUCAGCCACACUGGGACUGAGACACGGCCCAGACUCCUACGGGAGGCAGCAGUGGGGAAUAUUGGACAAUGGGCGCAAGCCUGAUCCAGCCAUGCCGCGUGAGUGAUGAAGGUCUUAGGAUUGUAAAGCUCUUUCACCGGUGAAGAUAAUGACGGUAACCGGAGAAGAAGCCCCGGCUAACUUCGUGCCAGCAGCCGCGGUAAUACGAAGGGGGCUAGCGUUGUUCGGAUUUACUGGGCGUAAAGCGCACGUAGGCGGACUUUUAAGUCAGGGGUGAAAUCCCGGGGCUCAACCCCGGAACUGCCUUUGAUACUGGGAGUCUUGAGUUCGAGAGAGGUGAGUGGAAUUGCGAGU
rnacentral:rRNA from 1 species